rnacentral:rRNA from 1 species
CCAGACUCCUACGGGAGGCAGCGGUGGGGAAUAUUGCACAAUGGGGGGAACCCUGAUGCAGCGACGCCGCGUGGGUGAAGGAGCACCUCGGUGCGUAAAGCCCUAUCGGCAGGGAAGAAGCAAGACGGUACCUGACUAAGAAGCCCCGGCUAACUACGUGCCAGCAGCCGCGGUAAUACGUAGGGGGCGAGCGUUAUCCGGAUUUACUGGGUGUAAAGGGAGCGUAGACGGCAGCGCAAGUCUGAAGUGAAAUGCCGGGGCUUAACCCCGGAACUGCUUUGGAAACUGAGCAGCUAGAGUGCAGGAGAGGUAAGUGGAAUUCCUAGUGUGGCGGUGAAAUGCGUAGAUAUUAGGGGGAACACCAGUGGCGAAGGCGACUUUCUGGACUGUAACUGACGCUGAGGCACGAAAGUGUGGGGAGCAAACAGGAUUAGAUACCCCAGUACC